rnacentral:rRNA from 1 species
GACGAACGCUGGCGGCGCGCCUAACACAUGCAAGUCGAACGGAGAUAUUUUGUUUGAAGUUUUCGGAUGGACGACGGGAUAUCUUAGUGGCGAACGGGUGAGUAACACGUGAGUAACCUGCCUUUCAGAGGGGGACAACAUUUGGAAACGAAUGCUAAUACCGCAUAAGACCACGGUACCGCAUGGUAGAGAGGUCAAAGGAGAAAUCCGCUGAAAGAUGGGCUCGCGUCCGAUUAGGUAGUUGGUGAGGUAACGGCCCACCAAGCCGACGAUCGGUAGCCGGACUGAGAGGUUGAACGGCCACAUUGGGACUGAGACACGGCCCAG